rnacentral:rRNA from 1 species
AACGAACGCUGGCGGCAGGCUUAACACAUGCAAGUCGAGCGCCCCGCAAGGGGAGCGGCAGACGGGUGAGUAACGCGUGGGAAUCUACCCAUCUCUACGGAAUAACGCAUGGAAACGUGUGCUAAUACCGUAUACGUCCUUCGGGAGAAAGAUUUAUCGGUGAUGGAUGAGCCCGCGUUUGGAUUGGCUAGCUGGUGGGGUAAAUGCCUACCAAGGCGACGAUCCUUAGCUGGGCUGAGAGGAUGAUCAGCCACACUGGGACUGAGACACUGCCCGGACUCAUACGGGUGGCAGCGUGGUGAAAUAUUGGACAAUGGGCGCAAGCCUGAUCCAGUCAUGCCGCGUGGGUGAUGUAGGCCCUAGGGUUGUAAAGCGCUUCACCGGUGAAGAUAAUGACGGUAACCGGAGAAGAAGCCCCGGCUAACUUCGUGCCAGCCGCCGCGGUAAAAC